GAAUUUAUUGCGCUUAUUAUUCUUGUUUUGGGUUUGGUAAAUUUCAGAGAAUUGGUACGGUUUUGGUUUGGCUGAGCUGCUGGAAUCUGGGGAAAGCCAUAUAACAACAAGGGUGAUGAGAACUUUUGGUUACCUGGCUCCUGAAUAUGCAAAUACUGACUUGAAAAAAGCGACAAAUACAGUUUUGGUGUUCUACUUCUUGAAGCUGUCACCGGAAGAGAUCCAGUAGAUUACACACGUCCAGCCAAUGAGGUUAAUCUUGUCGAGUGGCUUAAAAUGAUGGUAGGGAACAGUAGAGCAGAGGAAGUUGUGGGCUCUAGCCUUGAAGUCAGGCCUACUACCCGUGCCCUCAACAUCUCUUACAGUUCUGGAAAAUUGUGAAAAAUUUGAGCCCAACUCCAAGUUCUGAAUGUCCAAGACGAUCACAAAUUUGAGAGUAGUACUAGUUUAUUGGAUACUCAUGUUUCUACUCCUCAAGAUCAAGGACUAUCUGGUAGAAACUUCUUCCCCUUCUCACACAUACUACCCUGUAAAUAACAGUGACUCUGCAGUGUCCUUUGAAGCUUUUUUGGUGAGAGAUCGAACUUCAGAUGAUGUCGUAAAUGGUUUGUCUCAACCUCAAAACAGAGCAGCAUUUAGAAUGAGUGCUCUGUAGUGUUUCAUAUUGUAGAUAAGUUCCCUUCCUUGAUGCCCAAAUCAAGCACCGGACCCGGUAUACAAGAAAACUCUAGCAGCUUGCUGGAUGUUUUUGCUAAUCUAAGUUCCGGAAGAACUACUACCAAUUUUGUAUCAUUCGGGCUAUCAAGUUCUGGAAAUAUGACUUCUGGACUCAGUUCAUCAACCAGUAAUCCAUCUGCGAAUAAUUCACAAGGUUCUCUAUUCGGUGGUGCCAGUAAAUCUUUUGUGCCUGCUGUUGGAGCAGACACAGACUGCAUUCUCUCCACCUUCACCUAGAAAGCAACACGUGCGAGACACAGAAUUGGGAAGCUCCUACUGUCUGGGUUAUGUUUAUAGUGUAUGAAAAUGUGCUAAAUAUGUUUAAACUGCAUCGAUUAUGAUUAGAGUUUCAUUGUUUUGAACUCAUGUGAUCUUUAUUAACAUGCAUUUCGGUGUUGGUGAUUACAUUUGUAUUCUACGUUUUUUUUAGCUCUUAAAUUUUAUUGUUUAUUUUAGUUUUU